AACUACGAGUAGUAACUUAAAACUUAAAAGACUUGACGGUACUUCACCACAACCUAGAGGAGCCUGUCUAAUAACCGACAACCCACGAUUAACCCAACCCUAUCUUGCCAACAGUCUAUAUACCACCGUCGCAAGCUCACCUUGUAAAAGAACUAUAGCGAGCUCAAUAGUCCACCACUAACACGACAGGUCGAGGUGUAACUCAUGAAAGGGUCACAGAUGGGCUACACUCUCUUCCUAGAGAACACGAAUAACACCAUGAACAUGGUAUUUGAAGGAGGAUUUAGCAGAAAGAUAGGAAUAAACUACCUAACUGAACAUUUAGCAAUGAAGUGCGCACACACCGCCCG
rnacentral:rRNA from 1 species